UACGUAGGGUGCAGGCGUUAAUCGGAAUUACUGGGCGUAAAGCGUGCGCAGGCGGUUUGUUAAGUCAGAUGUGAAAGCCCCGGGCUCAACCUGGGAACUGCGUUUGAAGCUGGGAGACUGGAGUGUGGCAGAGGGGGGUGGAAUUCCACGUGUAGCAGUGAAAUGCGUAGAUAUGUGGAGGAACACCGAUGGCGAAGGCAGCCCCCUGGGUUAACACUGACGCUCAUGCACGAAAGCGUGGGGAGCAAACAGG
rnacentral:rRNA from 1 species